ACGAUGAACCACUUCGGUGGGGAUUAGUGGCGAACGGGUGAGUAACACGUGGGCAAUCUGCCCUGCACUCUGGGACAAGCCCUGGAAACGGGGUCUAAUACCGGAUACUGAUUGUCUUGGGCAUCCUUGAUGAUCGAAAGCUCCGGCGGUGCAGGAUGAGCCCGCGGCCUAUCAGCUUGUUGGUGAGGUAACGGCUCACCAAGGCGACGACGGGUAGCCGGCCUGAGAGGGCGACCGGCCACACUGGGACUGAGACACGGCCCAGACUCCUACGGGAGGCAGCAGUGGGGAAUAUUGCACAAUGGGCGCAAGCCUGAUGCAGCGACGCCGCGUGAGGGAUGACGGCCUUCGGGUUGUAAACCUCUUUCAGCAGGGAAGAAGCGAAAGUGACGGUACCUGCAGAAGAAGCGCCGGCUAACUACGUGCCAGCAGCCGCGGUAAUACGUAGGGCGCAAGCGUUGUCCGGAAUUAUUGGGCGUAAAGAGCUCGUAGGCGGCUUGUCGCGUCGGUUGUGAAAGCCCGGGGCUUAACCCCGGGUCUGCAGUCGAUACGGGCAGGCUAGAGUUCGGUAGGGGAGAUCGGAAUUCCUGGUGUAGCGGUGAAAUGCGCAGAUAUCAUGAGGA
rnacentral:rRNA from 1 species